rnacentral:rRNA from 1 species
AGUGAACGCUGGCGGUAGGCCUAACACAUGCAAGUCGAACGGCAGCACAGUAAGAGCUUGCUCUUACGGGUGGCGAGUGGCGGACGGGUGAGGAAUACAUCGGAAUCUACUUUUUCGUGGGGGAUAACGUAGGGAAACUUACGCUAAUACCGCAUACGACCUACGGGUGAAAGCAGGGGAUCUUCGGACCUUGCGCGAUUGAAUGAGCCGAUGUCGGAUUAGCUAGUUGGCGGGGUAAAGGCCCACCAAGGCGACGAUCCGUAGCUGGUCUGAGAGGAUGAUCAGCCCAACUGGAACUGGAACACGGCCCAGAUUCCUAGGGGAGGCAGCAGGGGGGAAUAUGGGACAAGGGGGGCAAGCCUGAUCCAGCCAUACGGGGGGGGUGAAGAAGGCCUUCGGGUUGUAAAGCCUUUUUGUGGGGAAAAAAAAGCAGCAGGUUAAUACCCCGCUGUUCUGACGGUACCCAAAAAAAAAGCACCGGCAAACUUCGU